GGCCAUUAUUCUGCAGGCUCAGUUCCGGGAGAGGUUGGAGCUCAUAGCCGAGUAGUUCCAGGGGUUGUAGGGCGCGGCAGAACGAGCCCAGUCCCUUCUCGGUGCCCAGAAUAAGGAGAUUCCCUCCGGCUCUGGUGGGACCUCACAGACCCGGCUGGCUGUCUUACAAGAGUGUGCAGCUUUCCAAGCGUCCCUAACUUAGAGCCAAGUGUGGUGACGCACACCUGAAAUCCUGGAACUCAGCGGUAGAGACAGGUAGACGGCAGAAAAUAGUUCAAGACCAACCCGAUCUAUACGAUAAGACCCCGCCUCAUCCCUUACCUCCCCACCCCCCAAAAAACAAAUCAAAGUUCCUCUGCCUGUUUGGUUCUUCCUGCACUGAAAAUUCUUCAGCAUUAACUUCAGGUGGAGCCGCUCCAGGUGCAUCCUCUUCACUGGGCAGAUCCUCCACGCCCAGAUCAUCCUCCCCAGAUGAACUUUCUCCCAAGGAGGGCUCCCCCUGCAAUCCGGACAGGCCCUGGGGAUGCGCAGACACUAGGGGCAGCAGAAGCAGCACCACCAGCAGCAGCACAGUAGGGGCUGGGAUCAACAAAGAGGGCCGGGGUCUGGGGCCCAGGGAAGCCAUGCGACUGACUGGGGUGUCCCAGGACACGGUGUGGAGUGUACGGGCUGUACGUGCAUCGGAAAUAGGAGCUGGGUUGGGGGAGGAGCAAGCCUUGAGGGGAGCAGGCUGACUCACGGAAUGCCCUUUUGCAGAGAUGGAGCCAAAGUCCCACAGGUCUGCCUGGCCCUGUGCCCCCCUCCCCGAUAUCAAAGCCUGGACACAGUUCGGGUAAGAGGUAGGGUUGGGGCAAGAGGCAGGUGUGUUCACAGGCAGGAGGUUAUCGGAAUCACCAGCUCAGCUUGGAGCCCAAGGCACCACCUGGCACUGUAUAGGUUCUCCGUGGCACCACCCAGCUUCUGCCUGCCAGUCUCUGCUAGGCCUGGCUUGCUUCCCAGCCUCGGGAGGGAAGGGGAAAGAAGGGGAGCUGGGGCCCUGGUGUAGUCGGGCUGAGAAGACAAGAAACCUGUGUCUAAAUCCUGCCACAGUCAGGUCUUGGGUAGAGGGGGCAGGUAAAGACACUGGGGGAGCCUAGGGCUGAGUAGGUAGAGGGGCCCACGGGUAAGUAGGAGACAAAUUUGAGCAUGAAUGUUUGAUUAUAUAUAUGAGAGAGACUCUGAUGGCUCCCCCAUUGCCUGCCAAAGUAUGACCACUUUCUUUUUCCAACUUCCAGGUCUGCAAAACCUCACCCAAGAAACCACUCUGUUUUGUCUCUUGCUUUUCCCCUAAUGUUCCAGUUAGAUUAUACUUUUUUGCCCCCCCAACCCGCUCUGCCACUGCCAUUCUUGAUUUUCAGUGCUGGAGACUAAAUCCAGGGACAUAGGUGCCAAGCAAGAACUCUUCCACUGAGCUACACUCCCAGUCCUAAAAUACUCAUUUUUUUUCCUCCAAACUUUUUACUGCCUUUUAAAAUCUAAGUCUCGGUGCCUAGAAAGCCACUCGUGUUUGCUUUCUGUAUUUAUUUCAUACCUAUGGCAUGCUAGGCUGUGGACUAGAGACCGGGAAAUGAAAAUGAGGAGUCCCUGUCUGAGGUGCUCUCGCUCCAGUGAGUGAGGAAAAAUAUUAUAAUCCUGCCUAAGAAAGUGUGGAAGUGGGCAAAAUACGACCCCACCUUUGAAGAAGAGCUAGGAGCUCCAUGGGAAGGUGGAUGGUAGCCACAGUAAGGAGAAUCAUAUUCUAGGCAAAGAAGAGGCAUGGGAUAUUUUGAGCAGAGGCUGGCCAGAUGGCUCAGUGGGUAAAGGCAUUUGCCACCACAUCUGAUGAUCUGAGUUGAGCUCCCAGAAUUGACAUGGUAGAAGAAGAGACCCAUCUCCUCCAAGUUGUCCUCUGUCCCCCAUGUGUGCCGUGGCAUACGCAUGUAUGCAAAUGCACAUGUAAUAAGUAAAGAGAUGUAAAAAAUGUUUUGCAGAGCGUGACCGAGCCCAGUUUUCAUAUUAGGCCAUGUUGAAGACUGCUGUGAGCAUGGAUGGGGCAGAGAGACUGGGUGUAAAGAAUUGGGACAGCGUGAGAAUGGACGCGGGGCUCCAGUCCGUCCGUUUAAUGAGCACUUAUCGAGCCUCUUCCAGUCUUCCAGAUACUGCUAUUGUUCCCAGGGUUUUGCGUCUGUGUUUCCAAGCAGGGAUCUGCAGCAUUCGCUAGCUUUCCCAAUGUCCUCUACAGCUCCGUGCCCUUCUAUCUCUCCAUACUGCCGGCCGUUUCCUUGCCGUGGGUGGAGAUGUGGACUCUGAUCCUGGAUCACACCUUUAUAACCCAGGAAUCGGCCAAAUCCUAAAGCUUGAGCUCUGAGUCCUUUUAUCCUGAAUCUAACCACGUGGGACACUCCCCGCCUGGCACAGUACACCUCCGCGGUUGUUAAAGCCAAGUCUUUGGUCACUGGGAUCUGUGUUUCUAAACCCGGACAAACACAUUCCUAAACCAGGUUUCUGAUUAGCCCUUGGUUACAGAAGAGGGAACCACUCACUGGUAGAGCGGGAGAGAAGCCCCCUUCUCCCUAGUCACAGAUUGGAAGGCAAGACCAAAGCUGUUUUGAGGUCUUGAGGCUGGCCCAUCACACUAUUAUUGCUUGGGCUAUCAUAAAAAUCACCAUAAACCCAUAAACCAGGUGUCUUACGGCAAUUCGAUUUUUAAAACUCUCAACGUUCUGUAGGCCUCCAGUUUGAAGUUGUAUAGGCAGGACCAGGUUACCUCAGAGGCUCUGGCAGAACCUCUUUUGUUCAUUCCUGGAUUCUAGUGGUGCAUAACUUGGGUCCCAUUACUUGAGAGGUACAGGCUGGCAGAUCUUUGUGAGUUUGAAGCCAGCCAAAGUUACAUGGUGAGACCCUGUCUCAAGUAAUAAUAACGACAAUAAUAGCUAAUAAUAAUAACAAUAAUAAACAAACAAAAAACAUGUUACAACAACAAAAAUUCUUAGUUAUAGCUGCAAAAACCCCUUCUCCAGGUAAGGUUACACUCUUGGGCUAUGGACAUGUCUUUAUGUGGCCACCGUGUAGCAGAACCGAAAUGGAUAUAUUUCAAGAAGUCCUUAGUGUGUCUCCUCAUCCUCAGCUGUGCCCUCUUCUACCAAUUAGACAGUGCUCCCAACCUGAGUUCAAAGUGAGCUCUAUUCCCAUCUCCUCUCCCACCCACAGACCGGUGACAUACUCAAACAUACCCAAGACCAGUGAUGGCCCAGUGAUGGCAUGCAUGAAGAAGCCCUAGGAGGCCAGAAGAGGGUAUCAGACCCUGGGAACUGAACCUGGGUCUUAUACCAGAGCAGCCAGUGCUUUUAGCCCCUGAGUUGUGUCUGUAGCCCCUCUAUUCUUACUGUUUAGAUUCACAGGAUCCCCAUGGGAUUAUCUGUGCUCACCCACAUUUGAGCUGUAUUAGCAUGGACUGCCCUUUAUUUGCUUCUCUUUUGUUUUGAUUUUUUUUGAGACAGGGUCUCACUGUGUGGCCCAGGCUACCCUCAGACUUGCAGCAAUCCUUCUGCCUCAGCUUUCUACAUGCUGGGAUUAAAGACGUAAGUCACCAUUCCAGUUUCUCUGCAUUCACUUGAGACAGUGUUACUGGCCCUUAACCUGGUGUCACCAGUUCUCUUGGAACCCAAACCAAAGAAAUAGUCUGCUCCAAACUCUCCAUUUCUCCAAGGUUUCCAGGCUGUUCUCUGGUCUAAGCCCAGCAUUUAACAUUUUCAGGAUUCUUAGAAUAUCUGAGCUGGGGGAGCUUAGAACCCCGGCAAUCCCCUGCUUCUUGGCUUGGGGCCCAGAUUCCUAAGAGUCCAAAUGGAAGAAAUGGGUCUGAUGUUUCUUACAUUUAGUAUUCCAAUAUAAAAUGUAUUUUAUAAUUACAAAAUAGUGCAUAGCCAAUGAAGGAAAAUUGGGGAACAUGAAGAAGGGUCUCGGGGAAUUAAAAUAUCCCCCGACUUGUGCCAUUCUCUCUUAGACCUUUAGCCUCGGGAUUCCACUGCCUGGCACAGGUAGACACUCAUUUGUCCAAUUAUAUUCUGUCUCAUCCCCCAGAGAUAAAAACCACAAUUAGGUUUUGAUUGCUUAGCCUUCAGCCUUUCAUGUAUCUUUUUAUGCAGAGGGAAUCACAUUACAUACACAGCUCUCUUUCGCUUGCCUUUUCUCUUCUCUCUUGGCGUUAUACUUACUAUGAGUGUUUUGAUUUUUUUAAAAUAUAUCCAUAAACCAAGUGUCUUAAGACAAUGCUUUUUUUAAAUCUCAAUUUUCUGUAGGCCUUAAGUCUGAAAAAAAAUACAAAUAGAUAUAUGUAGAUAUCUCUCUCGCUACAUAUCUAUCUAUCUAUCGAGAGAAUUUUUGUUUUUUGAGGCAGGGUU